rnacentral:rRNA from 1 species
UGGCCUUGACAUGCUUAGUUCAGGCGUGGAAACACGCUGGCCCGCAAGGGCGAUUUGCACAGGUGCUGCAUGGCUGUCGUCAGCUCGUGUCGUGAGAUGUUGGGUUAAGUCCCGCAACGAGCGCAACCCUCGUGGUUAGUUAUUCCCGGGCAACCGGAAUCUGACCAGACUGCCCUGUGAAACGGGGAGGAAGGUGGGGACGACGUCAAGUCCGUAUGGCCCUUACGGCCAGGGCUGCACACGUACUACAAUGCCCAAUACAGAGGGACGCAAGACCGCAAGGUGGAGCUAAUCCCGUAAAGUUGGGCCCAGUUCGGAUUGGAGGCUGCAACUCGCCUCCAUGAAGUUGGAAUCGCUAGUAAUGGCGCAUCAGUACGGCGCCGGAA